ACAAGGUUUCCGUAGGUGAACCUGCGGAAGGAUCAUUAUUGAGUAAAUUUACACACACCUUGAGACGGUUGGUCGGCUUGGCCACUUUUUAAAAGCUUUUAAAAAGGCAGUGUGCGCAACCUUGUCUCUUGGUACUAUUACUUGCUUAUCCUCUUGUGCAUUUCUUGUGGUUUUUCCUCUGUUUUCUGCCCUCUGGGUGGUGAGCAUGGGUGGCCAUGCCCCUAUUUUAUGGACGAGUGUAAUUGAGUGUGCUUGUGAUUAAUAGUAUCUUUAUACAACUUUCAGCAACGGAUCUCUUGGCUCUCGCAUCGAUGAAGAACGCAGCGAAAUGCGAUAAGUAAUGUGAAUUGCAGAAUUCAGUGAAUCAUCGAAUCUUUGAACGCACCUUGCACUCCUUGGUAUUCCGAGGAGUACGCCUGUUUGAGGGUCAUAUGGAAGGUAACGCUACUUGGGAAUUGUGAUGAUUCCCAGGAAGCUGUCUUGAAGUGGGGAGUGCUUGCCUUUCAUGUUAUGUUGUCUGUCAGGUAGUUGAGCCGUUCCUUUUGGGUCCUGUGCACACCCUGUCUGGGCUUUUUAGCAUGGUUGGGUAGGCUUCUCUGAAAUGCAUUUGUGAGUGUCACUUGUGGCUUGCUUUGUAGGCGUCAUAUUUAUUUAUGUGCCGGCGAGUCUGCUUGUGUGGCCUUGCUGUCUAACCAAUGUCUGAAGAGACAUAUUGGUAAGUCUGACCUCAAAUCAGGUGGGACUACCCGCUGAACUUAAGCAU
rnacentral:rRNA from 1 species